GCAGGUGGCCGAGUUGGUGUAUGACGUCCGAACAUCACCAAAGGAUGUCGGAAGAUCCCGAGUUCGAUUCCCGGCCAAGCU